AUUGAACGCUGGCGGCAUGCUUUACACAUGCAAGUCGAACGGCAGCGCGGGCUUCGGCCUGGCGGCGAGUGGCGAACGGGUGAGUAAUGCAUCGGAACGUGCCCAGUAGUGGGGGAUAGCCCGGCGAAAGCCGGAUUAAUACCGCAUACGACCUGAGGGUGAAAGCGGGGGACCGAAAGGCCUCGCGCUAUUGGAGCGGCCGAUGUCGGAUUAGCUAGUUGGUGGGGUAAAGGCUUACCAAGGCGACGAUCCGUAGCUGGUCUGAGAGGACGACCAGCCACACUGGGACUGAGACACGGCCCAGACUCCUACGGGAGGCAGCAGUGGGGAAUGUUGGACAAUGGGGGCAAACCUGAUCCAGCCAUGCCGCGUGCGGGAAGAAGGCCUUCGGGUUGUAAACCGCUUUUGUUCGGGAAGAAAUCCUCUGGGCUAAUACCCCGGGGGGAUGACGGUACCGGAAGAAUAAGCACCGGCUAACUACGUG
rnacentral:rRNA from 1 species